rnacentral:rRNA from 1 species
GAGUUUGAUCCUGGCUCAGGAUGAACGUUAGAGAUAGGCUUAACACAUGCAAGUCGAGGGGCAGCAUGAUCUUAGCUUGCUAAGGUCGAUGGCGACCGGCGCACGGGUGCGUAACGCGUAUGCAACUUGCCUUACAGAGGGGGAUAACCCGUUGAAAGACGGACUAAAACCGCAUACACUUGUAUUAUUGCAUGAUAUUACAAGGAAAUAUUUAUAGCUGUAAGAUAGGCAUGCGUCCCAUUAGCUUGUUGGUGAGGUAACGGCUCACCAAGGCGACGAUGGGUAGGGGAACUGAGAGGUUUAUCCCCCACACUGGUACUGAGACACGGACCAGACUCCUACGGGAGGCAGCAGUGAGGAAUAUUGGUCAAUGGGCGAGAGCCUGAACCAGCCAAGUCGCGUGAAGGAAGACAGUCCUAAGGAUUGUAAACUUCUUUUAUACGGGAAUAACGGGCGAUACGAGUAUUGCAUUGAAUGUACCGUAAGAAUAAGCAUCGGCUAACUCCGUGCCAGCAGCCGCGGUAAUACGGAGGAUGCGAGCGUUAUCCGGAUUUAUUGGGUUUAAAGGGUGCGUAGGUUGUUCGGUAAGUCAGCGGUGAAACCUGAGCGCUCAACGUUCAGCCUGCCGUUGAAACUGCCGGGCUUGAGUUCAGUGGCGGCAGGCGGAAUUCGUGGUGUAGCGGUGAAAUGCAUAGAUAUCACGAGGAACUCCGAUUGCGAAGGCAGCUUGCCAUACUGCGACUGACACUGAAGCACGAAGGCGUGGGUAUCAAACAGGAUUAGAUACCCUGUAGUCCACGCAGUAAACGAUGAUUACUAGGAGUUUGCGAUAUACCGUCAAGCUUCCACAGCGAAAGCGUUAAGUAAUCCACCUGGGGGAGUACGCGGGCAACGGUGAAACUUCAAAGGAUAUUGACGGGGGCCCGCCACAAUCGGAGGAACAUUGUGGCUUAAUU